rnacentral:tRNA from 4 species
UGGGGGAUCGUUCAGCGGUAGGACGACGGGUUCUGGCCCCGUUAACGAGGGUUCGAGUCCUUCUCCCCCAGCCA